GUGAAAGUAGGGCAGCCUUGGCCCUCCUGAAGAGAGGAAGGAAAUUAGUGGCAGGUGGACUGUUGGAAUGGCAUUUUCAGAUGCCUUCACCUGGGUGAGAAAUCUGUCUCCAUCAGGACCUCAGAUGUCUGACAGCCCUGUGUAACACAUGUAAUAUAUCCAGUACUUCAGCAGCUGUGAUUUGUCUUAGCCAUCCUUGUAUCCCCACCCUUGUACACUGUUGUCUUU